rnacentral:rRNA from 1 species
AUUGAACGCUGGCGGCAUGCUUUACACAUGCAAGUCGAACGGUAACAGGGUGCUUGCACCGCUGACGAGUGGCGAACGGGUGAGUAAUGCGUCGGAACGUGCCGAGUAGUGGGGGAUAACGCAGCGAAAGUUGUGCUAAUACCGCAUACGUACUGAGGUAGAAAGUGGGGGACCUUCGGGCCUCACGCUAUUCGAGCGGCCGACGUCUGAUUAGCUAGUAGGUGAGGUAAAGGCUCACCUAGGCGACGAUCAGUAGCGGGUCUGAGAGGAUGAUCCGCCACACUGGGACUGAGACACGGCCCAGACUCCUACGGGAGGCAGCAGUGGGGAAUUUUGGGCAAUGGGCGAAAGCCUGAUCCAGCCAUGCCGCGUGUCUGAAGAAGGCCUUCGGGUUGUAAAGGACUUUUGUCAGGGAGGAAAUCCCUAGCGUUAAUACCGCUGGGGGAUGACAGUACCUGAAGAAUAAGCACCGGCUAACUACGUGCCAGCAGCCGCAGUAAUAC